ACCUUCGUGGUGUAGUGGUCAGCACGCUCGACGCGUAACCAAGAAGUCUGUGGUUCGAUUCCCGGCGACGGCA
rnacentral:tRNA from 1 species